GGACGCGUGGCACUCUAUUGAAAAAAGUCAGAAUUCUGAGAAAAUGUUAAGAAAAUUCAGAAUUCAUCUGAGAAAAAGUCAGACUUUGUGAAAGAAGUCGGAUUUCUGAGAAAAAGUCUGACUUUUUAGAAAAAUGUGAUUCUGAGAAAAAGUCAUAAUUCUCAGAAAAAGUCAGAAUCUUAACGGUUAGAAACUCUGAAAUGCUUCUUUAUACCUUCAGUGGUCCAGUUUUUUUUAAUGCAUUAUUUCUGCAGGGCAUUACAAACACCAAUGAUGUUUAUACCGAUCUGAAAAUGAAUAAGAAGAUUUAACAUUUUCUGUCAGAAUCUUAAGGGUUUACUGAAAAAAUGAUUUAUUAAGGCAACCAUUAAACUAAUGCAUGUCUUUCUGCAUUUCUAGGUAAACCUAUAAUAAUAAUAAUUAUUGUAGUCAUAAUUGUGACGCUGCUGGCUCUGAUCCUGAUAGCUGUUCUUCUUCUGUGCUGUUGCAGGAGGAAGAAGAAAACUCUGGACUCCCCCAAUGAAGCGAAUGACCCUGUGCACAGUGUGAAGCUGGACUCUGGUCCUGAGUACCAACAUGUCUCAGGCUUCAAGUCCAUCUCAGCAGCACAGACUGAAGACUCUGAGCAACAGGAAGAGCUAAUGUGAAGCAUCACAUUUUACACCAUGCACUGUUUAUUGUAAACAUUUCAAAGACACCUCACCAGAUGGCACACUUUAGAUGUUGCAGUGGCUGAUUAGAAGAAACAGAGAGCUUCCCUAAUAACUUUUGUUAGUUUGAACAUCAUUUCAGUCCCCUCUCACUCCCGCAGGAGGCGCCACUGUGCAGAAAGUUUUAGACAAAAUGUUUCUGAACAGGUAAAUAUAUUUGUCAAGCCGAAAGCACUGAGAGUGAACAACACAGCUUUCACAGGUUGGAGAGGAAAGAGCAGAAUAUGUGUUAGGAGAUGGAGAAAAAUCAUCUUCAGAGUCACAGUAUGACUCAACAACGUUUACAGUGCUGUGGAGUUAGCUGAAUACUAGUCUUGCCAUGAGACUAAUAUUUGAAAGCUUUUAUAUUGUCCAUAAUGGUAAUUUGAUGCAACCUAGGUCUGGUCUGCACUGUAAGCCAGUUUUUAUAAAUAACAUUGCAUAUGUGAAUAUUUCUGUCGCCCUUGGCUGAAUGUAUUGUCUGUAUGAAUUAUGAUGCUAUCAGUACUGUAUAGAAUAAAUCAUCCAUGUGAUGUUUUAACACUCUGUAAAUCAUCUUAAAAAAUACAUUCAAUUUGAUUGCAAAUUGAUGUGCUGAUGAUCAGUAAUAUCUUUCCCACUUACAGUUCCUUAAAAUCAGAACCUGAAUCCUUCAAUGUUGAAUAAUUACCCAUCUCUAUUAUUCCCUUUAUAUUUAGAAAGCUGAUGUAAAUAAACUCAAUAACUUUUGAGCAUAAAUGACAUUUUAUACAUGUAAUAAUCUGGCUUCAGACUGCGUCAUGGUUCUGAAGUGAA